AUUCAGCAAUGGAUCUUAGUGGCGAACGGGUGAGUAACGCGUAGGCAAUCUGCCUUCUAGAUGGGGACAACAUCCCGAAAGGGGUGCUAAUACCGAAUGUUGUACCGUUUCCGCAUGGAGAUGAUACUAAAGGUGGCCUCUGAAUAUGCUACCGCUAGAAGAUGAGCCUGCGUCUGAUUAGCUAGUUGGAGGGGUAACGGCCCACCAAGGCUUCGAUCAGUAGCCGGUCUGAGAGGAUGAACGGCCACACUGGGACUGAGACACGGCCCAGACUCCUACGGGAGGCAGCAGUGGGGAAUCUUCCGCAAUGGACGAAAGUCUGACGGAGCAACGCCGCGUGAGUGAAGAAGGUUUUCGGAUCGUAAAGCUCUUUCGUUAGGGACGAACGUGCUCUUUGUGAAUAAUGAGGAGUAAUGACGGUACCUAAAUAAGAAGCCACGGCUAACUACGUGCCAGCAGCCGCGGUAAUACGUAGGUGGCAAGCGUUGUCCGGAAUUAUUGGGCGUAAAGCGCGCGCAGGCGGGAUAUCAAGUCUGUCUU
rnacentral:rRNA from 1 species